rnacentral:rRNA from 1 species
UACGGAGGGUGCAAGCGUUAUCCGGAUUCACUGGGUUUAAAGGGUGCGUAGGCGGGCAGGUAAGUCCGUGGUGAAAUCUCUGAGCUUAACUCAGAAACUGCCAUGGAUACUAUUUGUCUUGAAUGUUGUGGAGGUAAGCGGAAUAUGUCAUGUAGCGGUGAAAUGCGUAGAUAUGACAUAGAACACCAAUUGCGAAGGCAGCUUACUACACAAAUAUUGACGCUGAGGCACGAAAGCGUGGGGAUCAAACAGG